UAUUUCGUCGGACGACCUUUGAACAUCCUCCGAGCGACCGAUCGUUUAAUUAACAUCGUUUUUAUUAAACGUCAUAUAAACAUCGGUUAUCGCCGCUUAUUUAACCGCAAUGAAAUCGCCAUUGUCGUCGUGUUCGAUCGUCGUCGUAACGCUUCUGGCGGUCUGUCGUUUUUCCGACGCGUUCGAUUGGGAAAAUCAUCCCAACGGCAAACUCGUCAAGUCCGAGGUGAUAUUCAGCCUUCCCCACAAUGUCGUGUUCGGCACGAUUAACGGCGGCAACGUUGACGCGUCGAAAAUCCCGUGGGCCGCGAGAAUCAGGUCGUACAAACUGCUGUACGUGUUGGCAAAGUACUGUGAGUACACGUUCUGGAUAAAUUCGCCGAGCCAUAUCAGUAGCGCGAUUAGCACGCCGACGAAGAAAGUCAUCGAUUUCAUGAAACGUCACAAAACGGACAUUUCCAAUCUGGAGCAACUGUUGAACGACACUUUUUCGAAUCCAAAUCACGCGAACGCCGACAAGAAUCUGACCCUCAAGUUGCUGUUGAGAUUCCAAAAAGGCAUUUAUAAUCUGUUGUUUAGCGACGUGACGACGUUCAACGCUUUAAUGUUGAAUGUGACGCUAAACGAAAAUUUCUGCGUCAGACUCGAACAGGCGAUUAAAGCGUGGACGUUUUUCGACAACUUGGCGGACGACGAGGAAUCGACAAAAUAUAUCCCUGCGAAUUUCGAACAGAACUGUAUGUUUCCGACGCAAUAUUUUUACAACAAAAUCAUAGGCGAGCACAAGAAGCCGAAAAAAAAAGAAGAAGAAGAAGAAGAAGAUAAAAAAGAAAUUAUAACAUUCAUAUGAAAAAUUAAUUUUAUUAAAACUAUAUGUAAUUAAUAAAAUUAAAACUAUGUGUAAUUAAUAAAAUUAAAACUAUAUGUAAUUANAAAA